AGGACGAACGCUGGCGGCGUGCUUAACACAUGCAAGUCGAGCGGAAAGGCCCUUCGGGGUACUCGAGCGGCGAACGGGUGAGUAACACGUGAGUAAUCUGCCCCUAGCUCUGGGAUAGCUCCGGGAAACCGGGAUUAAUACCGGAUACGACCACCUUAGACAUCUUUUGUGGUGGAAAGAAUUUCGGCUAGGGAUGAGCUCGCGGCCUAUCAGCUUGUUGGUGAGGUAACGACUCACCAAGGCGACGACGGGUAGCCGGCCUGAGAGGGCGACCGGCCAACGACUGGGACUGAGACACGGCCCAGACUCCUACGGGAGGCAGCAGUGGGGAAUAUUGCGCAAUGGGCGAAAGCCUGACGCAGCGACGCCGCGUGCGGGAUGAAGGCCUUCGGUGUAACCUCUUUAGUAGGAGAAGCGAAAGUGACGGUACCUGCAGAAAAGCACCGGCUAACUACGUGCCAGCAGCCGC
rnacentral:rRNA from 1 species